AUGAGAAAUGUUAAUGAUCAAAACAAAGAACUAUUUGGCGCCUUUGUGUUUUGACUGACGCCAAUGGCGGCGGUCAUAGAAUGUGGCGGUUAAUUUCUGGUAAACCGUUGUCCAUAAACAGUUUUACGGUGUUUACGAUUUGUCAGAGUUGUUGAUUUUUGUUAUUUGUUCACUCAUAAUUCUUGCUAGGCAAUAAUGACAUUAUGUCAAUUUAAUGUUUGUGUAUUUUCAAUUAUUUUUCUAAUAUGUUAAUAGCGUUUGGUUGUUACAUGUAUUCCGACUACUGUAAAUUAGAUUAGUGUUAUGUUCCAUUUAUCAAAAACUUUCCCGGUUUGUCAAGGCAAAAUGAUCUACCGACUGUUUUAUUUCAUCGAACAAUUCAUCUUCAACCUGAUGCAUUUCUUAGUAAGAAUCUACUCCAAUCAGACCAUCAAAGCUUUAGCACUGGUCUUCUUGAGCGUCUUCACUGAAAUUGUGAUCUAUGUGAUUUUGGGAUUAUGCUGUGUUUUCACUUCCUUGAUCAUUCAAAUCCACGACAUCAUCGAAAAAAGCGAGGAAAAACUUUCCCGCAGCUCCAGUGCUCUGGUUGUAACAGAAAACAAAAACGAACGACCUAUUCGGACUGGUUUUGGUGGCGAUAUCAAAUUUUCACCAAAAGUUAAACAAAAAUAAAAACAUUUCUUUCUA